AGCAGCCGCGGUAAUUCCAGCUCCAAUAGCGUAUAUUAAAGUUGUUGCAGUUAAAAAGCUCGUAGUUGAAUUUCGGGAUCAAGGAAUCGGUCAUGCCUUGGUAUGUACUGGUUUUAUUGGUUCUCACCUUCUAAAGAACCAUAAUGUCAUUCAUUUGAUGUUAUGGGGAAUUAGGACUGUUACCUUGAAAAAAUUAGAGUGUUUAAAGCAGGCUUUACGCUUGAAUACAUUAGCAUGGAAUAAUGAAAUAGGACAUCAGAUUCUAUUUUGUUGGUUUCUAGGAUCGAUGUAAUGAUUAAUAGGGAUAGUUGGGGGCAUUAGUAUUCAAUUGUCAGAGGUGAAAUUCUUGGAUUUAUUGAAGACUAACUACUGCGAAAGCAUUUGCCAAGGAUGUUUUCAUUAAUCAAGAACGAAAGUUAGGGGAUCGAAGACGAUCAGAUACCGUCGUAGUCUUAACCAUAAACUAUGCCGACUAGGGAUCGGAUGAUGUUAAUUUUAUAAUGACUCAUUCGGCACCUUACG
rnacentral:rRNA from 1 species